UCGGACGUGGUGCAUGGUGCACACCCGCUGCUUAUUCUGGUGUAGCAAAUCUAGUACGCGGGAAGCCCGGGUUCGACUCACGGCGUCUGAA